rnacentral:snoRNA from 1 species
AAGACUAUACUGUCAGGAAUCAUUUCUAUCAUUUGUUACUAGAAACGUUUCUCUGUACAUGAAGAGGAAUGACUCAUUUCUAUCCCUUAGAUCCUGG